GAGGGUACAGCUCAGUGGUAGAGUGCAUGCCUAGCAUGCAUGAGGUCCUUGGUUCAAUCCCUAGUAAAUUCA
rnacentral:tRNA from 1 species